AUGCUGCAACCGCUCGAAUCAGGUUACCUUAAGCAUUCGCUCCGGCGAGUCACCUGAAUAGGCGAGUCUUAUUUUAA
rnacentral:sRNA from 1 species